rnacentral:rRNA from 1 species
UACGAAGGGUGCAAGCGUUAAUCGGAAUUACUGGGCGUAAAGCGUGCGUAGGCGGUUCGUUAAGUCUGUCGUGAAAGCCCUGGGCUCAACCUGGGAAUGGCGAUGGAUACUGGCGAGCUAGAGUGUGAUAGAGGAUGGCGGAAUUCCCGGUGUAGAGGUGAAAUUCGUAGAGAUCGGGAGGAACAUCAGUUGCGAAGGCGGCCACCUGGACCAGCACUGACACUGAGGCACGAAAGCGUGGGGAGCAAACAGG